GAUCCGCGCCGCUGCAGAGUUUGAUCCUGGCUCAGGAUGAACGCUAGCGGCAGGCUUAACACAUGCAAGUCGAGGGGCAGCGGGUGUAGCAAUACAUGCCGGCGACCGGCGAAAGGGUGAGUAACGCGUGAGCAACAUGCCCGUGGUUGGGGGAUAGUCGAUGGAAACGUCGCGUAAUACCCCGUAACAUAAAGGACCGCAUGGUUUUUUAUUGAAAGAUUCAUUGACCACGGAUUGGCUCGCGUGCCAUUAGGUAGACGGCGGGGUAACGGCCCACCGUGCCGACGAUGGCUAGGGGUUCUGAGAGGAAGGUCCCCCACAUUGGAACUGAGACACGGUCCAGACUCCUACGGGAGGCAGCAGUGAGGAAUAUUGGACAAUGGCCGGAAGGCUGAUCCAGCCAUGCCGCGUGCGGGAGGACGGCCCUAUGGGUUGUAAACCGCUUUUGCGAGGGAGCAAUAAUCACUACGUGUAGUGAGAUGAGAGUACCUUACGAAUAAGCAUCGGCUAACUCCGUGCCAGCAGCCGCGGUAAUACGGAGGAUGCAAGCGUUAUCCGGAUUUAUUGGGUUUAAAGGGUGCGUAGGCGGCUUGGUAAGCGGGAGGUGAAAUGCCGGCGCUCAACGUCGGAAGUGCCUCCCGAACUGUCGGGCUUGAAUGACACUGCCGUGGGAGGAAUGUGUGGUGUAGCGGUGAAAUGCAUAGAGAUCACACAGAACACCGAUUGCGAAGGCAUCUCACGAAGUGUUGAUUGACGCUGAGGCACGAAAGCGUGGGGAUCAAACAGAUUAGAUACCCUGGUAGUCCACGUAGUAAACGAUGAUGGCUAACCGCUGGGGCGUACGCUUCAGUGGCCAAGCGAAAGCGAUAAGCCAUCCACCUGGGGAGUACGACCGCAAGGUUGAAACUCAAAGGAAUUGACGGGGGCCCGCACAAGCGGAGGAACAUGUGGUUUAAUUCGAUGAUACGCGAGGAACCUUACCCGGGCUCGAACGGCAGCUGAACGAUGCAGAGAUGCAAAGGCCCUUCGGGGCGGCUGUCGAGGUGCUGCAUGGUUGUCGUCAGCUCGUGCCGUGAGGUGUCGGGCUCAAAGUGCCCAUAACGAGCGCA
rnacentral:rRNA from 1 species